GCCAGCCCGCUCAGAACUUAAAUGAAUUGACGGGGCCCGCACAAGCGGUGGAGUAUGUGGUUUAAUUCGAUGCAACGCGAAGAACCUCACCUGGUCUUGACAUCCCGGAGACCCUUAGGAAACUAGGGGGUGCUUCCAUCUGGAAGAAUCUGGAGACAGGUGCUGCAUGGCUGUCGUCAGCUCGUGUCGUGAGAUGUUGGGUUAAGUCCCGCAACGAGCGCAACCCUUGCCUUUAGUUGCCAGCAGUUCGGCUGGGCACUCUAAAGGGACUGCCGGUGUUAAACCGGAGGAAGGUGGGGAUGACGUCAAGUCCUCAUGGCCUUUAUGACCAGGGCUACACACGUACUACAAUGGCCGAUACAAAGGGCAGCGACACUGCGAGGUGAAGCCAAUCCCGUAAAAUCGGUCUCAGUCCGGAUUGGAGUCUGCAACUCGACUCCAUGAAGUUGGAAUCGCUAGUAAUCGUGGAUCAGCAUGCCACGGUGAAUACGUUCCCGGGCCUU
rnacentral:rRNA from 1 species